rnacentral:rRNA from 1 species
AUGGCCUCCCCAGCAGCAGCGUGCAGCCUCCCGACCCACACAGCGCCUUCCCUCGACGACAAACCAGCGGACGAGGCCGGCCUCCGCCGCCUGAGACGCCGCCGGCGCCGCCGCUGCAUCUGCAUCUGCGCCCUGGUCACCCUCGGCGUGCUCCUGCUCCUGGGCGUCACCCUCCUCGUCCUCUUCCUCACCGUGUUCCGCGUGCGCGACCCCACCACGCGCCUGCUCUCCACCCGCCUCGUCGGCCUCGCGCCCAGCCUCACCCAGCCCAACUUCACGCUGCUGCUCACCGUGGCUGUGCACAACCCCAACCCGGCCUCCUUCUCCUACGCCUCCGGCACCACGGGCCUCUGGUACCGGGGCGCCCACGUCGGCGACGCCCAGGUCGACCCGGGACGCAUCCCUAGCAAGGGGGACGGCGUCGUGCAGCUGGAGAUGACGGUGCUCACCGCCGGCUUCACCAAGGACAUGGCACAGCUGAUUAGGGACAUCGAGGCCGGGUCGCUGCCACUGGACGCCAACGCCAGGAUCCCGGGGAGGGUGGCCGUCCUGGGCGUGUUCAAGCUCAACGUCGUCGCCUACUCUGACUGCCACAUCGUCGUCGGCUUCCCGGACAUGGAGAUCCGAGGCCAGGACUGCCGCGACCACGCUAAGCUCUGA